rnacentral:sRNA from 1 species
UUAACUUGGACUUCUUUUGAUGGACCUG